rnacentral:rRNA from 1 species
AGCUAAUAGAUACCCUGGUAGUCCUGGCCCUAAACGAUGUCCACUAGAUCAUGGGACCUUGACGGGUUUCAUGGUCGAAAGCAAAAGUGCUAAGUGGACCGCCUGGGAAGUACGGUCGCAAGGCUAAAACUCAAAGGAAUUGGACGGGGGCGUCACACAAGCGGUGGAGCAUGUGGUUUAAUUCGAAGCAACGCGCAGAACCUUACCUGGGCUUGACAUGCCAGGAUUAUCCUUAUGAAAGUAGGGUACAGCCCGCAAGGGCCGGAACUGGUACAGGUGCUGCAUGGCUGUCGUCAGCUCGUGUCGUGAGAU